rnacentral:lncRNA from 1 species
CAAAUCCAGUUCAGACCGGGCGCAAUUCAUGUGCUCAGCCGCCGCAUGUGCAGGUAGCACAGGCACUGCUGGGUCAUCGUGACAUGGGCAGGCUUGGAUUGAUUCGCUGCUGGUGUGGAUCUGUGGAGAACUCCCAUCCUGCACCCACUCCGAUCUCCCCCGAUCUCCCCCUCCUGGACGUGGGUGAUAUGCUCUGCCCACACCUGAGCUCUCUCCAGUCUCCGCCUCCUGGACAUGGUAGGGUGGCCAAGCUCAGCUCACACCUGAGCUCUCUCCGAGCUCCGCCUUCUGGACUCGGUAGAGUGGCCAUGCUCCACCCACACCUGCGCUCUCUCCGAGCUCCGCCUUCUGGACGUGGUAGGAUGGCCAUGCUCCGCCCACACCUGAGCUCUCGGUGCCACGAUCUGCAGGUGUACUCCAGAGGACAAGUGUACUGUGGAAACUAUGAUCCAGGUCAGCAGCCAGUCAUUUCAUAGAAGAUAAACUUCAAGAACAUUCUCUGAAGGGCAGUGAAACUGAGUAAGAUCUAACCACUGUUACCAGCAACCAAGAAAAAUAGGUAAGAAAAUGCAACUAAGAUUUGGAUCAAGUAACUAUGGUAAAAAACAUGCAAACUAUCGCUAAGCACAAAAUAGGCUGGGAGUAAAAACAUAAACAUAAAAAAUAUUUAUGAUAU